rnacentral:rRNA from 1 species
UACGUAGGUGGCAAGCGUUGUCCGGAAUUACUGGGCGUAAAGGGCGUGUAGGCGGCCUUUUAAGUCCGGCGUGAAAUCCAUGGGCUUAACCCAUGAAUUGCGUUUGAAACUGGAGGGCUUGAGGAUCGGAGAGGGCAGUGGAAUUCCCAGUGUAGCGGUGAAAUGCGUAGAUAUUGGGAGGAACACCAGUGGCGAAGGCGACUGCCUGGACGACAACUGACGCUGAGGCGCGAAAGCUAGGGGAGCAAACGGG